UACGUAGGCAGCGAGCGUUGUUCGGAGUUACUGGGCGUAAAGGGUGCGUAGGCGGUCAGCACAAGUCAGUUGUGAAAUCUCCGGGCUUAACUCGGAAAGGUCAACUGAUACUGUGCGACUAGAGUGCAGAAGGGGCAACUGGAAUUCUCGGUGUAGCGGUGAAAUGCGUAGAUAUCGAGAGGAACACCUGCGGCGAAGGCGACUACCUGGCCUGUUCUUGACGCUGAGGCGCGAAAGCUAGGGGAGCAAACGGG
rnacentral:rRNA from 1 species